rnacentral:rRNA from 1 species
UACGGAGGGUGCAAGCGUUAAUCGGAAUUACUGGGCGUAAAGCGUGCGUAGGCGGUUCGUUAAGUCUGUUGUGAAAGCCCCGGGCUCAACCUGGGAAUGGCAAUGGAUACUGGCGAGCUAGAGUGUGUCAGAGGAUGGUGGAAUUCCCGGUGUAGCGGUGAAAUGCGUAGAUAUUGGGAGGAACACCAGUGGCGAAGGCGGCUCACUGGACCGGUACUGACGCUGAUGCGCGAAAGCGUGGGGAGCAAACGGG